CAGCCGCCGCGGUAAUACCGGCGGCCCGAGUGGCGGUCACUCUUAUUGGGCUUAAAGCGUCCGUAGCCGGGGUGGGAAGUCCUCCGGGAAAUCUGGCCGCUUAACGGUCAGAAUGCCGGAGGAUACUCCCAGCCUAGGGGGCGGGAGAGGCCGAGGGGAUUCCCGGAGUAGGGGUGAAAUCCUAUAAUCCCGGGAGGACCACCUGUGGCGAAGGCGCUCGGCUGGAACGCGUCCGACGGUGAGGGGCGAAGGCCAGGGGAGCAAACCGGAUUAGAUACCCGGGUAGUCCUGGCUGUAAACGAUGCGGACUUUGUGUCGGACAAGCUAUGAGCUUGUCCGGUGCCGGAGGGAAACCGUUAAGUCCGCCGCCUGGGGAGUACGGCCGCAAGGCUGAAACUUAAAGGAAUUGGCGGG
rnacentral:rRNA from 1 species